UUAGUUGUCCAUCAUUCAGUUGGGCGACUCUAGCGAGACUGCCGGUAUAAACCGGAGGAAGGUGGGGAUGACGUCAAAUCAUCAUGCCCCUUAUGACCUGGGCUACACACGUGCUACAAUGGUUGGUACAACGAGUUGCGAGUCGGUGACGGCGAGCUAAUCUCUUAAAGCCAAUCUCAGUUCGGAUUGUAGGCUGCAACUCGCCUACAUGAAGUCGGAAUCGCUAGUAAUCGCGGAUCAGCACGCCGCGGUGAAUACGUUCCCGGGCCUU
rnacentral:rRNA from 1 species